UACGAAGGGGGCUAGCGUUGCUCGGAAUUACUGGGCGUAAAGGGCGCGUAGGCGGACAGUUUAGUCAGAGGUGAAAGCCCAGGGCUCAACCUUGGAAUAGCCUUUGAUACUGGCUGUCUUGAGUUCGGGAGAGGUGAGUGGAAUGCCGAGUGUAGAGGUGAAAUUCGUAGAUAUUCGGCGGAACACCGGUGGCGAAGGCGACUCACUGGCCCGAUACUGACGCUGAGGCGCGAAAGCGUGGGGAGCAAACAGG
rnacentral:rRNA from 1 species